rnacentral:rRNA from 1 species
UACGUAGGUGGCAAGCGUUGUCCGGAUUUACUGGGCGUAAAGAGCGCGCAGGCGGUCGUGCAAGUCGCGUGUGAAAGCCCCCGGCUCAACUGGGGAGGGUCACGCGAUACUGCUCGACUCGAAGGCAGGAGAGGGAAGUGGAAUUCCCAGUGUAGCGGUGAAAUGCGUAGAUAUUGGGAGGAACACCAGUGGCGAAGGCGGCAUCCUGGACUGGUCCUGACACUCAGGAGCGAAAGCGUGGGGAGCGAUCCGG